GGUUGUAACUCAGUGGUAGAGUUCUAGCCUAGCAUGUGUGAGGCACUGGGUUCGAUUCUCAGCACCA
rnacentral:tRNA from 1 species